rnacentral:miRNA from 1 species
UUCACUCUCUCUUUGGUCCCCAG